AAAAUUGAACACCAACCAAUCAAACUUUUGGCUAAGAUUUUCGUACGCCAAAACCCAAAGCAAUGCACCAAACUAACACAAACACCACAACCUUAGCCUUCAGCCCCACAAAAUGAACAGCACACACCAAAUUUUCAGGCCAUUAAUUCCUGCCGCCUGUGUCAGUUUCCGGCGGCUGAGCACCGCUAAGCUACUGCCCUGCCCACGUCCCAAAGCUUUGAAACACAGACACUUGUCUCUUCAAACAGACCAAAACUCCAAGUGGGCUGUCAGGCUAAGCUUACUGGACCAAAGCCCGCCAAAAUCUAAACCAACGGUUGACGUGGAUCGGUUAGUGGAUUUUUUGUACGAGGAUCUUGUCCAUCUCUUUGAUGAUCAGGGUAUUGAUCGGACGGCUUAUGAUGAGCGUGUGAAGUUCAGGGACCCAAUUACCAAGCAUGACACGAUAACUGGGUACUUGUUGAACAUCUCCUUCUUGAAGAUUGUGUUCACGCCUAGGUUCCAGUUGCACUGGGUCAAACAGACAGGACCAUACGAAAUCACCACAAGGUGGACUAUGGUUAUGAAGUUCAUCCCUCUGCCUUGGAAACCAGAAUUGGUCUUCACAGGAACCUCAGUUAUGGGCAUCAACCCGGAGACCGGGAAGUUCUGCAGCCAUGUGGACUUCUGGGAUUCAAUAAAGACGAAUGACUAUUUUUCAGUAGAAGGUUUGUUGGAUGUUUUCAAGCAGCUGCGGUUUUACAAAACUCCAGACUUGGAAACACCCAAAUAUGAGAUAUUAAAACGAACGGUGAAUUACGAGGUGAGAAAGUACUCCCCUUUUAUAGUGGUAGAAGGAUCUGUGGACAAGCUGUCUGGGUCGGCCGGUUUCAAUGAUGUUACUGGGUACAUCUUUGGAAAGAACUCCAAAAUGGAGAAGAUACCAAUGACUACCCCUGUCUUCACUGAGGCAUCUGAUGCUGAAUUUUCCAAAGUAUCCAUCAAAAUAUGUCUUCCACUGGAGAAGGAUAUAAGCAGUUUACCAGAUCCCAAUCAAGAAACGAUUAGGUUAAAAAAGGUGGAAGGAGGCACUGCUGCAGUUCUGAAGUUCAGUGGAAAGCCUACUGAAGAGAUAGUUCGUGAGAAGGAGAAAGUGUUGCGCUCUAGUCUUAUUAGAGAUGGUCUCAAACCUAAGAAUGGUUGCUUGCUUGCUCGUUACAAUGAUCCAGGCCGAACUAAGAGCUUUGUAAUGAGGAAUGAAGUACUGAUAUGGCUGGAGGAGUUUACAUUGGACUAGCAUGUUGAACAUGGCCGUUCUUCGUUCUAACUCUCCCUGUUGAUCAUUUUUCUCCACUACUUACGAAGUUCCCAAUGCAGAAUAAAACUCACAUCCUGUCCUGGUGGUUUCAUUCUGUCCUCAACCAUUGACAUUGUCUUGCCAGUUUAAAAAAAAAGGCAUAAGCACCUCUGUCUCUGUGCUUUAUGCUUAAUGCCUACGGUCGUGCGCAUGUGCAAGUUUGCCAAAUGCCAACCCAAGCCAACAAAGUUGGUCGCAUUUCCUUUUCAACUAUUUGCCUCCGCUGACAACGGAUGCUUCGUACUUUAUAAUCAUCAAACAGUUUCUGAAAGCUUUUAAUCAUCAAAGAACUUUCAAUGUUCAAACAAUACUGUCUCUGUUAAACUCAUGUAUUGAUUAUGAAA